GACGAACGCUGGCGGCGUGCUUAACACAUGCAAGUCGAACGGAAAGGCCCUGCUUUUGUGGGGUGCUCGAGUGGCGAAAGGGUGAGUAACACGUGAGUAACCUGCCCUUGACUUUGGGAUAACUUCAGGAAACUGGGGCUAAUACCGGAUAGGAGCUCCUGCUGCAUGGUGGGGGUUGGAAAUUUUCGGCGGUUGGGGAUGGACUCGCGGCUUAUCAGCUUGUUGGUGGGGUAGUGGCUUACCAAGGCUUUGACGGGUAGCCGGCCUGAGAGGGUGACCGGCCACAUUGGGACUGAGAUACGGCCCAGACUCCUACGGGAGGCAGCAGUGGGGAAUAUUGCACAAUGGGCGGAAGCCUGAUGCAGCAACGCCGCGUGCGGGAUGACGGCCUUCGGGUUGUAAACCGCUUUCGCCUGUGACGAAGCGUGAGUGACGGUAAUGGGUAAAGAAGCACCGGCUAACUACGUG
rnacentral:rRNA from 1 species